AUUGAACGCUGGCGGCAUGCCUUACACAUGCAAGUCGAACGGUAACAGGGAGCUUGCUCCGCUGACGAGUGGCGAACGGGUGAGCAAUGUAUCGGAACGUACCUUCUAGUGGGGGAUAACGUAGCGAAAGUUACGCUAAUACCGCAUAUUCUCUGAGGAGGAAAGAAGGGGACCGUCGGGCCUUGAGCUAAUAGAGCGGAUGAUAACAGAUUAGCUAGUUGGUGAGGUAAAGGCUCACCAAGGCGACGAUCUGUAGCGGGUCUGAUAGGAUGAUCCGCCACACUGGAACUGAGACACGGUCCAGACUCCUACGGGAGGCAGCAGUGGGGAAUUUUGGACAAUGGGGGCAACCCUGAUCCAGCCAUGCCGCGUGAGUGAAGAAGGCCUUCGGGUUGUAAAGCUCUUUCGGCCGGGAAAAAAUCGCAUGGGUUAAUACCCUGUGUGGAUGAUGGUACCGGAAUAAGAAGCACCGGCUAACUACGUGCCAGCCGCCGCGGUAA
rnacentral:rRNA from 1 species